AUCACACCUAACUUUAAUCAUUCAGGCACAUUUUUUUGUCAUUAAAAAGAAAAGGUAUUUACAAGGGGGAAAUCACCUGGUUGCUCUUAACCAAGUGCAAGCUGUAGGUUAUUUGGCUGCUUUUAGCCAUCCACCUUUUCUCCACAGUUCUUGUUAAGGGAGUUCCUCUGUCAGCUGUCUUGAUCCAAAUGAUUGAAAAAAAAAAAGAUAGAAAAGGGAAAAAUAGUUUUCAAUUCACCCAAAAAUAUCAUUAGCUGGUAACUAAUCACCAGCAAAUGCACCAAUUACAAAAGACUUGGAUAUAUUUGCAGCAAGCUAUGAUAUUCUUUCUUAAGAAGAAAGAAAAACAACACUUACACAUAGCACACAGUCUGCAGUUCUGGGUAAUCAUCAUCUUUCUGUCAGCUGUAGUCAUGACUGGUAGCUUUGCCCUCAGUGCUGUCAGAUGGAUAACCCCUUAAAGCUGGAAAUAAAAGCUAGGUAUGGGCCUCAGGUUAUCACUUUUGAUUGGAGGGGUGGAAGAGAUUUCUCCAGGUGCAUACUGGAAGUAGGACUGUGUCUACAACAUAAUGCUUACCCAGGGCAGAAAAUCCCAGCAGCUUCUCCCUUUUCAGUUACUUUUGAUAGAAGAGCCAUGGAGUGACUCCAUAGGAGGAGGAAAUGACCUGCAAUAAUCAUCAACUGUCUAUCCAAGGACUCCCAAGACCAAACCAAACAAAGCCUCUCAGCAGUUCUCAGAAUGCCAGCACAGUUGGUGGCUUUGAAGUGCCAGCAAGAGCUGUGCUGGGGCAUCCUCUGUACUCUCUUACGGACACCAGAAUGAGAGCCGCAGGAAGAGUUCACGUAGCAAAAGCACUAAUUCUGGAGCUUAGGUUCUUCAUGCAAGUAGAUUAUCACAGAAGUGGCAUUACUGUCCUGUUCUGGGCCUUGAGGUGCUGUGGGACUUAUACAUAAAGGCUUGGGGUCCCAGCCAGACUCCACCAGCAUUAAUGGAACACGUAAUUGAUUUUUUGGUGAGGUAACAAAAUACAUCCUGCAGCCCUGUGAAUAAAGAAGGGUCUAUUCACUUAGCAAGGCAGGAUUCAGAUGCACAGAGUCUUGGGGCACCUCGGAAUGAUCAGUAACUUUCCCAAAGGCAGUUUACGCUAUCAUUCUGAAUGUUUACCUUCACAGUACAAACAAAAAAAGAGGUGUACUUAUUGAUGGGGUAAACAGGUACACUUCUCCAAAGAAACCAGUUUGGUUAGUCAGCCUGGGUGUUGACAAGAGAUGGAAGGAAAUAAUUAAAAGAGACUGCAUAGUAGGUAUGAUAAUUAGCCAUGUGGUUGGUACCAAACAAUAGAGGCUUAUGCAGAGCCUAGGGAAUGUGGAGAGAUAAUUUUACCUUUCCCAAACAGGAGGGCAUCAAGCUGUGCUUCCCUGCCUGGGAAGUAGGUCAAGAGGAAGUGCACUUUCAAUUCAUAUUCAUCUCAUAAUUAUUUCACGUACUGAAGAACAGCAUUUCUGUCAAGGGGGAGAUGCCUCUGUGGCCAGUCUUAUGGAAAAACAAUCCUCCACUCAAAGAAACACCAUGCAUAUUUCACGCUUUCAGCAGCAGCCCUGCCUUCCACGUGAACUCUCAUUGCACUUCUGUUAGUCCUGACCUUGCCAAGCUUCACAGUCACUCCAGACAUCAUCACGAGUGGAUCCACACUGCCGGAUCCUAGCACAAGAGUACACUGCUGCACAUUUGCCAAUAGGACUCAAAUCAAGAUUUGAUGUGCUGUUGCUCCUGGAACUAUAGACGUCUUUCACUGGUGCUAUUGGAGAAGCAAGUGGUCCUGACAGAAACCUUUGUAUUGGGAUAUGUUAAGCAGGAGACCAUUAAAAAUAUCUGUUUUGGUUUUGAUUCUUAAGAGGGGAAAAGAGAAUACUUUAACAUGCAUUUGCUUAUUUUCAUAUGUAACAGAGUAUAACUUAAGUUGGAAAGUACCCUUGGAGGUUUGUCCAACCCUCGGCUCAAAGCUAGGCUACUUUGUAAAGAUACUUCAAGUUGUUCAGGGUCAUAUCACUAAAGUGUUAAAUGGAUAGAGUGUCCAAAACCUCUCUGAGCAACCUAUUGCAAUGUUUGACCACCAUCAUAGAGAUUUUCUUUUUCUUAGAGGUUUCAAAUGUGUACUUUAAAGAUGAAUACAAAGUUUCUGUAAGGAUAAAUCUAUAUUAGUCUGGGUAGAGAACAAGUGUUGUGUAGUCAUCUAUAGUACCUUUUCUUGGUAUAUAUAAACUAUGUUUCUGAAGUAGAAGAGAGACUUUCCAAGGAAAAAAAAAAGUAAAAAAUCAAUCAUUUAUGCUCAAUUUUCCCCAUGAUUUAAAAGAAUAUGUAAAGGAACAGCAUAAACAAAAAAUAAAUUAAAAAAGCCAAGGAAGUGAAUUAGAGAAUGAUGACAACAUGAUGGCUCUCAUUUUGUGUUCAGUUAUAGAGAAAUGUAAAUAUGAGAUCAAAUACAGCCACUCCAAUUUGACAAAUCUUUUGUAUGUUAAGAAAACAAUAUACAUAGGAUGUCAAAUACUACUCUUAAAAAGCACAUUGUUUUCAAGCUGCAGUGUACAAUCUCCACAUAUGCCACUUAUUAAUGUUUCUUUUUUUUAAAAAAAAGACCUGAUUUUAAAAAAAGAAUUGCCAACAGCACAGAAAACCAAAUCUGCUGCACCAAAUCAUUCAUGUUCCAGAUCUUUUUCUGCAGUAAGAUACUCAGUAGCUAUUUCUAUUCCCUGCCCCAGUUAAAUGUUCUUUUUUAAUAAAUCGUUCUUGGUUUCACCAUAA